AGCGAUAUAGCUAAGUGGUAAGGCAAAGAAUUGCAAAUUCUUUAUUCCUCAGUUCAAGUCUGAGUAUCGCUU
rnacentral:tRNA from 1 species